rnacentral:rRNA from 1 species
CCCUUUAGACGUUCUGGGCCGCACGCGUGCUACACUGAUGCAUUCAACGAGUUUAACACCUUGGUCGAAAGAUCUGGGUAAUCUCUAAAACUGCAUCGUGCUGGGGCUUGAUGAUUGCAAUUAUUCGUCAUAAACGAGGAAUUCCUAGUAAGGGUGUGUCAUCAGCGCACCCUGAUUACGUCCCUGCCCUUUGUACACACCGCCCGUCGCUCCUACCGAUUGAAUGGCUCGGUAAAGUCUUCGGAUCGUGACUGUUUAUUUAUUAUUUUCGGAUAAUAAAUUUAGUCGUGAGAAGUUGGAUAAACCUCGCCAUUUAGAGGAAGGAGAAGUCGUAACA